rnacentral:rRNA from 1 species
AGAGUUUGAUCAUGGCUCAGGAUUAACGCUGGCGGUAUGCCUAACACAUGCAAGUCGAACGGAAUACUAAUUAAGAGAAUCUCACACUAGUGAGAGGUUCUCACGAGUAGUAUUUAGUGGCGGACGGGUGAGUAACACGUUGGAACCUGCCCCGAAGUGGGGAAUAACUGCUCGAAAGAGUAGCUAAUACCCCAUAGUAUCCGGUUUAUCCGGAUUAAAGAUUUAUCGCUUCGGGAGGGGCCUGCGUCUGAUUAGCUAGUUGGUGAGGUAAUAGCUCACCAAGGCGACGAUCAGUAGCUGGUUCGAGAGGAUGACCAGCCACACUGGGACUGAGAUACGGCCCAGACUCCUACGGGAGGCAGCAGUGAGGAAUCUUCCACAAUGGGCGCAAGCCUGAUGGAGCAAUACCGCGUGCAGGAAGACGCUUUUCGGAGUGUAAACUGCUUUUGUCGUCGAAGAUUAUGACUGUAGACGAAGAAUAAGGACCGGCUAACUACGUG